GGCGGUCACUGUUGGGGUCACUCUUUCAGCGCCUCCGCUUUUCGAGAGACUGGGGAAUGAUCUCUCCGAGCCCGAAGAGGUUGAGGAUCAAACGUGACUUCCGCCGCCAAAUGCAAAAGGUGGUCCUCUAUUGGCUCCUGAUUGAAAUAGCGUUUUUUCCAAAGCAGUGCUCAGACAAGUUGAAUGAUUCAAUGAAAAUUUAAUCUGAUCUCAUCUUAGCUGUAAGCGGCAGCCUGCUAUCAACUAGAAUUGUAAUGCUGGGAACGAUCUGCUUCCUGCAGGCCUCUCUCCCUUCUCUGCCUUGGAGCCCUGGUCUGCCUUAUAAGAAUUUUGUUAUUAUGCUAGAGCUAUGUGGAGAGGCCGUAGGAGAAGCCACAUAAGAGGGAGAGGCCCUGAGAGAAAAGCCCAGCCAUCCCAGUGUCCCAGCCAAGCCCAGGCCCCUGCUGACCUACCAGCUGGAUGAAUCCGCAAGAGUGACCAUUGGCAAGAUCAACAGAAGAGUCACCCAGCUAAGCCCGGAUCACAGAAUUGACCGUUAAGAAAUGAAGUGAGUGAAAGUUUGGGGCACAUAGAAAAUGGUAACAAAAAUGUGGGAGCAGGCCCUGGUCCGUGGACUACACUAUGAGCAGCACUGACUUAGAUGAGGCCAGUGGUAUUCUCUGGUUCCCACCCCUUGGGCCAGCAUCAUGAUACCAUCCACUUUCGUCAACUGCUCUGUCCAGACCCCUCCUGUGAGGUGUGUAAUAGCACAACUGCUGAGGUCAAUCGGCUGCUGCUCCUGGAGGACCUGGAAGAUGAUACCCUCUCUGUGUCCUCUCUGGCUUCCACAGCUUCCGUGACUGAGUCAUCAUGUACUCUGUCCUCUGCCUUCUCAGCAGUCCCUCUAGGAGACCUAAUACCAGCCCCUUAGCCUGAGCCUUCCCCACCGCCCCCCUCCAUUCUCUCACCUAACCCAAUGACACCCUUGGCUGACUUUCUUUCACUUUCAUCACUGGGUCACUCUUUGCUACCAGAGCCUUUUCCUCCCUUGGAUUCCACAUUCCCAGUGGACCAUUCCCCACCCUAACCCCUUGCCUAUCCCCUUCUUUCACCACAUGACACUCAGACAGUGGAUCCUGUUCUCCAACCAGAGGCCACAUUCCCCGUGGACCAUUCCACAUACCAACUUUUUGCCUCUCCCCAUCUCUCACCACAUGACCCUUAGACAGCAGAUCCUGUUGUCCAAACAGAGGCUACUUUGUCUCUGCAUACCAUCUUCUCUCUUGACUCCACCCUUUCCCAAGAUACCAAACCCUUACCAGAUUUGUCCCAGACAAUGAAUCUCAAUGAUUCAUUGGCUUGUCAUCACACACCACCAGCUAUGUCUGUUUCACCACCACCAGACCGCCCUUUAACUGUGACUCAAUUUAAAUCAGUUUCCACUUUAUUGAAGCCUGUCUUGGAGAACUCAUCUCCAGAUAGCCCCAGUUGGUGGUCCACUUGUGUCCUGAAAAUCAGAGGCACUGAUCAUUCGAGGCUGUUGAUUUGAGAAUUCUCCUUGAGGCAAGCUCAUGGCAAAGACUUAUUCCCUUCCACCCUGGCACAAUGUGACUUCAGUCAAGAGUUUCUUGCCCUCCAUUCUUCAGAGGUGUCUUUCGAGGGAAACCCUCCAACCAACCUUGUAGAGCCUGAUAACCUCUCAUUUCUCAGCCCAUCUGUCCUGGCACUCCUGGAGAGACAAGGCCAACAGAGGAGUGAUUUCCUGAUGUGGGAGGAAGAGGAAAAUAAAAAGGAUUCUUUUCCAAAAGAUUUUAGGCCAGACUAUGAGCUAAAUUCUUCAGGGAAAAUGUUGGAGUCAAUUGCUGAUAAGCACGACUCGGCACUCUCCCUUCCUUUUUGGAGCAGCAAAGGGAAACCAAAGGAGCUGCACAAGCACCAGCAGCUUCUAUAUCCUAAGACCUCAGAGGACCAUCUACAGCAAAAACAUGUCCAGCUCUCCUGGGAUCUCGUCUCUGCACAGCAAGUCCUCGCCCUCUGCUGACCAUGUCUCAGGUGACUGUUCCUCAAUCUUUAUUUUCAACAGAAUCUCGAAUUCCUCCAUGGACCAAGAAUCCCCAGUACUUCCUCAUCCCUUACCUCUGUCCUUGCCUGAGAUCCAGCCUCAAGCCUUGCCUCAAACCCUGCCCCAAUCCAAGCCCCUACCUUUCACUCAGGUCCAGCCCCAGGCCCACCUUCAAUCCCCACUCCCAAUCCUACCAUUGGUCCUCUGCCUCAGAUUAGGAUCUGUGGAGUGUGUUUCCAGAAUGAAUUGGAGUCUCUCAUUUCAUCUGAAAUUCAAUACCUGGAAUGGAACGUGUUGCAGAAGCAACAGGAAAGUCCGUGGGGUUCACCCUCUGUGGUCCAAAGAUCUCAGGAAGACUUUUGUCCUUCAGCUCCCAACUCUCCUUACCAAUGGGCGUUCCAGGCCCAUAUUUCAAUCUCCAUCCUUCUUGCAGUUUUCUCUUAGUGAUGAGGUUUGAGAGAAACUAGAGGACCACCUUUGAAAGAGGCUCAUCCAACACCUGUGGGGCCUGUCCUGAAGGGUCCACGAGUGUCUGUCACUGAUUAUGACUCUGAGCAAUUUUCCAGAGACACCUGAGUCAGAGGGAAAUAAUGGACUCUCAUGGGUUUCUGUGAACAAAAAUCUAAAUGUUGGAUUGAGCCAUCCUGGAAGCUUCUAUGAGAGGAGCUCAUAAAUGCUUGGAUCAGUGACAUAGCCCACAAAAUGGGCCAAAAGAUCAUCUGUUGAGGGACCCAGAGAGCUCUUCAGAUAAGGAUCCAGGGUAUGACUCUGAGAGAGAUCUACAUAGUCACAUGCCAAGUCUGUUGGAAAAAAAUUCAAGGGCCUCAGGGGCAGUCUAGGUUAGAAACAAAUAGAAAAUGUCCUGAAAGUACAUUUGGGCAAGGAGUUUGAGGAAAUCAAUGAGGGUUGGCUCCCUGGGACUGUGCGGAGUUCAUGGCAUGCUGUCAAGCAGACAUUGCUGCUGUCUGCAAAAUCCUACACCCAGAAAACACAGAGAAGUUUGCCACCAUCAGUGGGUGAGGAUGACUCCCUGGAUACCUUCCAGGAGCUUUUCUUCAUUGAUUCCAGUGCAUGACAGAUGCUGCAAGCCCAUAUUAAAAGGUUUCAUAUGAGGAUGCUGUGGGGCCUUCCCUGCAGGGUCCUUGAAUCCAUAGAGAUCUUUAAUUUGAAAGAUGCAGCAUCCCAGUCCUUGUCCCAUCCCCACCUUCCCUCCUCGGCCAACCUGAUUUCUGAGGUGGACUCCAAAUCUUGGGCCUUCAAGACCUUUGUAGGAAGCUCCAAAUCUCUUCACAGAUACAAAAUGGGAACAAGAAAUUCAGCCCCUGUCCUGGAUCAUCAUCUCCUGACCAGCUCACCUGUGGGCAAGGAAGGGCAGGGGACCCCGAGAUGAUCACCCUUUCAUAUCAACAAUAAGUUUGCAGAGGAUAUUCGGAGAACUAAGGGUGCCAGACAGACUCUUCUGCCUGUCACACAUGACAUCACAGACAAAGCAAGUCAGAGACAGACUCUACUAGGCCACAUACACCCCCCCCAAAGCUGCCUGCAGGGAAAGCUGGGGCCAGACAUGAGCCAAAGAGGAAGAGUGUGAGUUCCAGGGGUGGAGUAGAAACACAACAAGGCAAAGACAGAGAAGAGGUCAGAACCUUUCUCCAAGGUCAACGUGUCCAGGGAGAUAUUCAGGGCAGAGGAGCUUGAUGCUUUUCAAUCAAAAACUGGUAACAUCUUGACAAUCAGCAAGCCAGGAAGCCCCCAAAUGGUAAAUGUGAAUCAGAGUAUAGUAGAAACUACUGGGACCACUGAAAGCCCCCCGCCAAAAGGACUAAUUCCCCUAGACUCUGAGUCAUCAGUCCUUAAAGAACAGCUGUUUGGUGAGUUAAAGUCUAAACUGGACAGGAGGGAGCAGAGCUACGCCCAAGGUCAACCCACUGACGCUCCCCUGCCUCAGAGAGCUUGACUUACAAGGCCUCACUGACUCAUGCCCAGGGUGUCUCCACUGGGGACAUGGGAGCUUCCCAGGUGCUGCAUGUCCAUUUGGAGGACAGAGGAAUCAGCACGGAGCAGCAGCAGGAGCCUUGGGUCCCUAAGAAAGUCUUAAGGAGGUGCCAGGAUAAGAAUUUCCCACCAGCUGCAAAGAGAGCAAGCCCUCCAGGCCCCAAACCAGAAGGUCUUGGUGGAGGGGAUGCAGGGUUGCAGACAUUCCAACCUAGAAGGAAGAGUUUCCCUACUCAGGAUAAGGCAUUAGAGGAGAUGUUUGAGAGCAAGUCUUCCCAGACCCCAUUACAAAAGGGACAGCCUCCUCCUGAAAACCUUUGCAGAAAAAAAAAAUGAAGCACUUUUUGUAAUGGCUUCAUCCUGAGACAAAACGCAAAAGGCAAGAAAAUUCCCAGGAAAAGGGCAGCUCUAUAUUAUCUGCACAGAGCAGAGGCCUAGUUAAAAGAAGAGCUGCCCUUACUGAGACGAGCACAGCUCAGAAGACCAUGACAGUCCCUGGGAAGUUCCCAGAGCAGGAACUGGAGCGUCGAUGUGCAACAGAUGCCACCUGGCCUCAAGAGCCCCUCCCCUCCCUGAGGAAGUUUGGGAAAACUCAGCAGAAGGCAGAAGUGCAGGCCCAGACAGAGCCCAUCCAGGGGCAUCCUUCCAACUACAGGGCUCCCUCCUGUAAAGUGACAAACACCAAGUCCUGCCACCAAGAAGCUGUCUUUGCUGGCCAGAGUGAUCCUACAAGUAUUAGAUGGAUCAGAGACAAGGACAGACACCCCCAGAAAGUUGUGGCCUUUAGGGACCAGCUAUUGGAUUAUCUGUGCCCCGCAGGGAGCCUGUCCCUGUCCAAGCCCCACCUACAGGGGUCAAGCCAGCCAGGGGCCUCCGACUGCUCUCACCACUGUUGAAGGCAGUUUCAACAGAAAAUGCUUCUCCAGAAUUUCCAGAGGAAAAUUUUCUACCCCCAAAUAAUUCCUUCCUUGUGCAGUAUAUUGAUUCUCUCCAGUAAAUGAUUCUCUAAUAAUAGAGAA
ensembl:lncRNA